UCCGGUUGAUCCUGCCGGACCUGACUGCUAUCGGAUUGAUACUAAGCCAUGCGAGUCUUUGUAGUAAUACAAGGCAGACGGCUCAGUAACGCGUAGUCAACCUACCCUAUGGACGGGAAUAAUCUCGGGAAACUGAGCAUAAUACCCGGCGUACCACCAUUCCUGGAAUGGUUGGUGGUUAAAAUGAUUCGUCGCCGUAGGAUGGGACUGCGGCCUAUCAGCUUGUUGGUGGGGUAAAGGCCCACCAAGGCUAUUACAGGUACGGGCUCUGAGAGGAGAAGCCCGGAGAUGGGUACUGAGACAAGGACCCAGGCCCUAUGGGGCGCAGCAGGCGAGAAAACUUUGCAAUGUGCGAAAGCACGACAAGGUUAAUCCGAGUGAUUUCUGCUAAAGGAAUCUUUUGCCAGUUCUAAAAAUACUAGUGAAUAAGGGGUGGGCAAGUUCUGGUGUCAGCCGCCGCGGUAAAACCAGCACCUCAAGUGGUCAGGAUGAUUAUUGGGCCUAAAGCAUCCGUAGCCGGCUCUGUAAGUUUUCGGUCAAAUCCAUGUGCUCAACGCAUGGGCUGCCGAAAAUACUGCAGUGCUAGGAAGUGGGAGAGGUAGACGGUACUUGAUAGGAAGGGGUAAAAUCCUUUGAUCUAUCGAUGACCACCUGUGGCGAAGGCGGUCUACCAGAACACGUUCGACGGUGAGGGAUGAAAGCUGGGGGAGCAAACCGGAUUAGAUACCCGGGUAGUCCCAGCUGUAAACGAUGCAGACUCGAUGAUGCAUUGGCAUAUAGCCAGUGCAGUGUCGCAGGGAAGCCGUUAAGUCUGCCGCCUGGGAAGUACGUACGCAAGUAUGAAACUUAAAGGAAUUGGCGGGGGAGCACCACAAGGGGUGAAGCCUGCGGUUCAAUUGGAUUCAACGCCGGG
rnacentral:rRNA from 1 species